rnacentral:rRNA from 1 species
AACGAACGCUGGCGGCAUGCCUAACACAUGCAAGUCGAACGAGACCUUCGGGUCUAGUGGCGCACGGGUGCGUAACGCGUGGGAAUCUGCCCUUCGGUUGGGAAUAACUGAGAGAAAUUUCAGCUAAUACCUUAUAAUGUCUUCGGACCAAAGAUUUAUCGCCGAGGGAUGAGCCCGCGUAGGAUUAGGUAGUUGGUGGGGUAAUGGCCUACCAAGCCGACGAUCCUUAGCUGGUCUGAGAGGAUGAUCAGCCACACUGGGACUGAGACACGGCCCAGACUCCUACGGGAGGCAGCAGUGGGGAAUAGUGGACAAUGGGCGAAAGCCUGAUCCAGCAAUGCCGCGUGAGUGAUGAAGGCCUUAGGGUUGUAAAGCUCUUUUACCCGGGAUGAUAAUGACAGUACCGGGAGAAUAAGCUCCGGCUAACUCCGUG